UACGUGAGGGGCAAGCGUUGUCCGGAUUUAUUGGCGUAAAGAGCGUGUAGGCGGCUUGGCAAGUCCGCUGUGAAACUCGAAGGCUUGAACCUCGAGACGUCGGUGGAAACUGCUUGGCUAAGAGUCCGGAAGAGGGAGAGGUGGAAUUCCUGGUGUAGCGGUGAAAUGCGCAGAUAUCAGGAGGAACACCGAUGGCGAAGGCAGGUCGUCUGGCGAUUAACUGGCGCUGAGGACGAAAGUGUGGGAGCGAACAGG
rnacentral:rRNA from 1 species